rnacentral:lncRNA from 1 species
AGACUUACCCACCUUUUCCUAACACAGAAGCUAUGAGCACCAACCCUCUUGACUACGAGCAUGCACGCAAAAUACUUUUAGAUAUAAAUGAUGGAAAACAAAGUAACCAGGAAUCUCGGGUGGUGAGUACCUUUUGGGGAUAAAGUAUCUCUUUAUUUGGUGUUUGCUUUUGUGAAAGGGAACUCCAACAAUGAAGAAAAUAUUUCUACACACUGCCCAGAGCCAAAAGAUAGCUAGUCAGCAAAGAUGUUUUAAACAUCUAAAGGAAAAUAAAGCACAGUGGUGGUAGCAGCCAUCUCUGGAAGUGUUAUUUGUCCCUUAAGAUCUUCAACUUGAUACUGAAAAAAAAAAACAUUCCAAUCGUAUAAGUAGAGCGUGCAGUCGUAUUUUAAUGUUGAAAUAGGAAUGAAUCUGCAUAUUGACACCUGUAAAUAAAUCUUUUGUUUCCCUUUAACGUUUCAAAAUGUAGAAUAAAUUCUUCACAGCUUAAUAUCUUGUAAAUCAAAUAUAUUCGUUGUUAUUUUACCACUCAUAAAAAGCAAACAAACACUUUAUUGUGUUAUUACUGCACUAUUUGAUCUGUAACUCACAAUGCCUGGUUUUACUGUGGGUCAACUGUCUCAAGUUAAACCCUUGAAAAUAGAAACAUAAUUGUAGUAAGAAUACAACUAGUCUAUUAGUUGUGAGGCAGAAGUAAUUCUUUAUACGAAUCAACAACAAAAGUAUGUUAUUUUGAAUGUGUAGAUAUUGGACUGUAUCACAUUACUCAUGUUGAAACAUGAAAUACUGUAUUUAUAUCCUGGGUAUUGUUGGACUGCAUCACAUUACUCAUGUUGAAACAUGAAAUACUGUUUUUAUAUCCUGGGUAUUGUUGGACUGCAUCACGGUGAUCAUGUUGAAACACGAAAUACUGUUUUUUAUCCUGGGUACUGUUGGACUGUAUCACAUUACUCAUGUUGAAACAUGAAAUACUGUUUUUAUAUCCUGGGUAUUGUUGGACUGUAUCACAUUACUCAUGUUGAAACACGAAAUACUGUUUUUUAUUCUGGGUAUUAUUGGACUGCAUCACAGUGAUCAUGUUGAAACACGAAAUACUGUUUUUUGAUCCUGGGUAUUGUUGGACUGUAUCACAUUACUCAUGUUGAAACAUGAAAUACUGUUUUUAUAUCCUGGGUAUUGUUGGACUGCAUCACGGUGAUCAUGUUGAAACACGAAAUACUGUUUUUUGAUCCUGGGUAUUGUUGGACUGCAUCACAGUGAUCAUGUUGAAACACGAAAUACUGUUUUUUGAUCCUGGGUACUGUUGGACUGCAUCACAGUGAUCAUGUUGAAACACGAAAUACUGUUUUUUGAUCCUGGGUACUGUUGGACUGCAUCACAGUGAUCAUGUUGAAACACGAAAUACUGUUUUUUUAUUCUGGGUAUUGUUGGACUGUAUCACAUUGAUCAUGUUGAAACAUGAAAUACUGUUGUUUUUUUAUCCUUUCUGCUGAAGUUUUCAUAAGAUUUGAAGCUGAAAUUUCUUAUGAUGGUGUCCAAUGUUAUUACUAAUUUUAGAGUAGAGGUAGAAAUUGCCCCCCCCCCCCCUUUUUUUUUUUUCUCUGACAAUACAAUUCCAAGAAUAUGUUGUUUGUGUAAUGAAAUGUCUCUCAGGUCCUAUUAUUUACCAUCAUUACAUAAAAAAAUAUUACUUUGAUUAAUAUUAAUAACAAGCAUGUCUGUUUCUCAACUUGAACUAAACCAAAACGUGGAAUUAUAUAUGAAUGUGUGUGGAACAGUAACCUAUAAAUCAGUUAUAAAACAUAUUUUGAAUAGUAAAAUAUAUAGUUCAUAAUUUUGCAACAGAUUUUUUUCGUGUUUAAACUGUAACUUUUAACAGUUUUUGUUUUUCAAUGAGUAAUUGGAUCACUGUGUGGUAAAUGUUUUGGAAGUUGUCUUUCGUACCCUUCAUAAAGGUUUUUAUGUUUGGAAAACCUUUUACCAUACAUUUUGUUGAAAUAACAUGUGCUGAACAAGAGUUGUUUUUUUAAAUUAGUAUAAAAAAAUUAAAGAAUACUCAAAAAGAGGGAGAUUAGCACUAAUUAGGUGUUUGAAUAAUGAAAUUUAAAAACCUUUUAAACAGUUCCUAAGCCUUGUUCCCGCUAUUGAAUGAAUGAAAUCGGUACUUAGGCUAAGUGGUUUUUCGUCAUGAGGCUGUUGUCACUGAUUAAAAGCUACUAGAGUAAUAGGAAUAUUUUCCCCAAUAAUUCUGGUCUGCUUUUACCACCAUAGGUGUUCAGUCACACAUACACAAAAGUUACUGUUUAUGAAAAAUCUAUUCAAGUUGUUUUAAUAAUUUCUUACUUUGAUUAUUAAACAUGAAGACCAGAAAAUCAUUUUAAAACACCCAUUUCAUCAUGUUAUUAUAUGAGGAGCACUGGUGUUAUACAAAGAUACACCAGGUGGUGGUGGCUUUAUAAAUUCAUAUAAGCCCUCUGGUGGAUCUGCGGUAUGUCUUAGGGCUUAUAAUUUGGGUUUUGAUACCCACGAUGGGUAGAGCACAGAUAGCUCAUUGUGUAGUUAACAACAAAACUAAUCUUUUUGGUUAUACUUCUGACAUUUUUCUACAAUAAAAAAUUGUUUGAGUUCUU